CCCCCCCCCCCCCCCCCCUUCCCAGUUCAACACAGAGUAGCAGCUCAUGAGAUGUGUUUCUGUUGAGGGUUUUUUUAUUUGCUAAAACACAGUUAACACCCUUGUCAAGUUGUUGUGUUCUAUUUAUAAAGGAGUUUUUAUUUGGAAUGAUUGAUUUUUUUUUAAUUUCACAUUUUUCUGGUUGUGUGCUAGCAAUGCCUACAUGUUAGUUUUUAGAGUUUUUAUUGUUAAAGUAAAUUCUGCUAUCUGGUUUAUAAAGAUAAUUUAUCUUUUGAGGACAAUUCUGCGAUAAAUGUAUUCGAUGUUCACGAUAAAGACUUAUUGACUCAAUAUGAUUUAUUGUGGAACUAAAUAAAGUACCCUGCUUUAACCACCUUCUACAUUAUUUCAUUAAUAAAUAAGUAAUUUUUCUAAUAGCUUCACAUUUAGUUUUCUAUCUUAUUUAAAAAAAAAGGGGGCUGUUUUUCAAUCCUAUCAAUAUUAUCUCUUUAAUGUAAAAAAAAAUAAAUAAAUAAACAUUGUGGUAUAAGCUGGAUGCAGUUAUUUGGUAAUGUUUUAUCAUGUUCAAUUUACUCUGUAAUGAUGUUUGAAUGAAUUGGAUUAUGUUGUCCUGUGAGUCUAUCCUGAGAUCUCUUUGUCUAGUCAAUGUGUUGAUGGAACAUCUUCCUAUGGAGUUGGGAAUGAGGAAUUCAAUGUUAGCAUAAUUCUCAUUCAUCUUUGCAGCAUGGAUUCCCUCCCCAUGGAUGUUUUUUUUGUAAAGAAGUCUUAUUAACUGGAUGUAAUUUUAUAACUAAAACAUUUUCCAUAACAACUGCCUAGUGAUAUAUUAAAGGAAUUUCUUUUUAUCAGUACAGACCUAGACAUUGAUUUGAUAGAACACAUUUUAGCAAUGACUUGAUACAGCUACAGUACCCUAGAGUUUGAGAUUUCAAAUUUCAAACAAAUUAUUUAGUCAGUAUGUAAAAAGAUACGCAGACAUUAUUUUUCCAUCUGGUCUGGUCCCCCCCCCCCCCCCCUCCCCC